rnacentral:lncRNA from 1 species
ACUCAACUUGGGACAAUGGCAAGGUGCCCAGGCUGGGAUCCCCGGCAAGGGAGCAAGCUGGAGUUCCUAGUGUAGAGAGGGGCAGCAACAUACAUAGAGACCAUAGCAAGCCGCUACUUCAUGGAGUCCUGGAUGUGUCAGGCCCCUUGGGGACACCCUGUGAAGAGCGCCACCAUCACUAGGUGUUCCACAGAGAGAGAAAGGAAGGCCUGGAGAGGUCACGUGACAUGCCCACGGUGACUCAGCUGCAGACAGGGAUGGGGAUUUGAAUCUGUUGUACCCCCCCUAGAUUUGCAAUUCCGUGUCCCAUAAGUCCUCCUCAAGGGAACAUACAGGCGUCACCAAAAAUUACUACUGCAUCUGAGAGGAUGUGGGAUCGGGGUAGAGCCCAGGGUUUUACACAUGCUCAGCAACUGCUCCAUCCGUGAUCUACAUCUGGGCCAGGGACUCGGAAAAAAAAACUAAUGGGCAGCGCCUCAUCGCCUAAGAACCGAAACCUCAGGAGAGGCCAAAGCAUCCUAAAGCCACUGAACAGAGAAUGGAGCCACUGAACGGAGAAGCUCCUGAGAACAGGUGGGGUGCAUCCUAAAGCCACUGAAUGGAGACGCUCCCGAGAGCAGGCGGGGUGCAUCCUAAAGCCACAGACUGAGGAGCUCGAGAGCAGGCCGGGCUAAGUCAGUCACAUUUACAUUACACGUGGCACAGAGGACAGCAUGGCAGGUAACCAGGAGGGAACUAGGGAGACACUGCGGGAGGAGGAGGCACUGGAUGCUAAAUCUCCAGUCCAGCGGGGAGCAGGGGCAGGUGUUCUGCUUGGCUCUGGCCGUGCAGCCCGCGCCUACUAGGUCAUCUGCUGACGUCACCAGGAAGUGGACACGGUGCUGAAAUACUUGACAUUUGAGGUUUGGGGAUUUGAGGCAGGAUGAAUAGAGGUACGGCUAUUGGCUCCUUCCUUGGGGAAGACCCUGAGUUGGGCUAUUUAUUUAUUUAUUUUAGCGACAAGGCCUAUGUUGUCCAGGCUGGCUCUGAAUUUUGCCUCUGCAAUUGUCAAGUAGUUGGCACCGUAACAGGUGCCACUGCACCAGCUGCCACAUUGCCACUGGGAAGGUUGGUGUUGUCAUCUUGACACCCUCUAGAACAGCAGUUCACCACCUGUGGGUCAUGACCCCUUCCAGGGGGGACUAACAACCCUUUCACUGGGUCACCUAAGACUGUCUGAAAACACAAAUAUUUACAUUACUGCUAAACUAUUUCUUCGCCGGUAAAAAUGAACCAACUCAAGACAGAUUAGAAUAUAUUAAAUGCAGGUUUAUUGGGAAGCUGCUCUCGGGUGGGUGAGUUCACUGGCCCCAAGGAAGGAAGCCAGGGUCACCAUGGGAAGGUAGAGAGAGAAACAGAGACAGAGAGGGAGGAGAGAGGGAGAAAGGGAGAGAAAGAGAAAAAUGGAAAGAGGGAGAGAAAGAAGGAGAGGGGGGAGAAGAAAAAGAAAAGAAGUGAGGAUUUGAAGGGAGAAGGAGACCAAAAUGAUUUCUGGCUUAUAUAUUGAAGAGCCUCUGGGAGAAGAGCAGCCCAGCCUCUGGGCUGCAAAUUCAGGGUAUGGGGGCAGAGUGUGCUAGGUAGGGACCAAGGGAUUCUG